AAGAUUGAACUUUCAGGGAUCAUUUCUGAAUUGGUUACUAGAAGAGAAGCUUCUCUGAUCUUGUAGAGCCCCUGAAACCAUGAAGAGGAGCUAGGGCAUCCUCUCCUGAGUGUGAAGCUGGUUCUAGGUGUUUUUUUUUGCAACUGCCUUUUAUAAACAUUGAUGCUCAUUCUUCUCUUCCUUCCGGAGAGUGAGUUGAAGAGGAUGCAGUCUGAGUGGU